rnacentral:rRNA from 1 species
CUUGGCACUGAACAUUGACCCUACAUGUGUAGGAUAGGUGGGAGGCUUUGAAGCACGUACGCCAGUAUGUGUGGAGCCGUCCUUGAAAUACCACCCUUGUAGUGUUGAUGUUCUAACGUCGACCCCUUAUCGGGGUUGCGGACAGUGCCUGGUGGGUAGUUUGACUGGGGCGGUCUCCUCCCAAAGAGUAACGGAGGAGCACGAAGGUGGGCUAAUCACGGUUGGACAUCGUGAGGUUAGUGCAAUGGCAUAAGC